UUCAAGGAGGCAACGGGGAUUCGACUUCCCCUGGGGGUA
rnacentral:tRNA from 19 species